AAUUUGCAGAUGACACAAAGCUGGAGAGGGGUUGCAAACACUUUGGAGGACAGAGAUAAAAUUCAAACAGAUCUUGAUAAAUUUGAGAACCGGGCAAUAGACAACAAAAUGAAAUUCAACAAAGACAAAUGUGAGAUGCUACAUUUAAGGGAGAAAAACCAAAUACACAAAUACAGAAUGGGGGAUAACUGGCAGCAGCACUGCUGAGAAGGAUCUGGAAGUUGUGGUGGAUCACAACCUCAACAUGCAUAAGCAGUGCGAUACUGUUGCAAAAAAAAAAACAAAAAAACAAAACGCAAAUGCAAUUUUAGGUUGCGUUAACAGAAGCAUAGCAUGCAAGCCGUGGGAGAUGAUAGUACCACUCUAUUCGGGACUUGUUAGGCCUCAGUUGUAGUACUGUGUCCAAUUUUGGCCAUCAAUGUAUAGAAAGGAUGCAGAGAAACUAGAAAGGAUCCAGAGGCAAGCAACAAAAAUGA